rnacentral:lncRNA from 10 species
GGCAAACACGUAUUGCUUUAUUUAGUGUUUCUCUGGAUUGCAGAAGUGUCAGCAGUGGGCUGAGACCCCCAGAAGGGCAUAGAGGCAGCUGGGCAGCCCCCAGGCCCUUGAGGGUAGGAGCAGGGAGAAGCAGCAGAAGGAGGUGAUGCCCCUGCCGCUCCUCCCAAGGCCAGCCCCGUCCCCACGCUCCCAUGCCAGGGAGGGGUCAGGGGCCAGAAAAGGCCCUACAUCCUUGAGUGGGGCCCGAGUGUGCGGGCAAGCUGUCUGUCAUCCCAAGGCCUGGACUCUGGCAGAGGCGCUUUUCCCACCUGGUGGCUCCCAGGGCCGAUUGCUGGUCAAGGAGCCAGAUAUACUCUUAAGACAUGAUGUGGGUUUUAUGGGGCUCCCUGGCUCUGGGAGUGGCAGUGAGGCACGCUGAGGAAGGGCUGCCAUCUUGGUUUUGUGGCAACCUGCCGUAUGACCGUGGGCAAGUGCCUUCUCCUGUUUGGGCAUCUGUCUUCUGCUCUGUAACAUCAAGGGGCUGGGCUGGAUGAUCUCUCAGCGUCUUCCAACCUCUAUGGUCUAAGACGGCCUUCCCCACUCCAGCACUGCCUCAAACUGGGAUGAUGAGGACAGUAAAAGGGCGUUCUUUUUUUUUUUUUUUAAGACGGAGUCUCGCUCUGUUGCCCAGGCUGGAGUGCAGUGGUGUACUCUUGGCUCACUGCAACCUCCACUUCCCGGGUUCAAGUGAUUCUCCUGCCUCAGCCUCCCGAGUAGCUGGGAUUAGAGGCGUGCACCACCAUGCCCGGCUAAUUUUGUAUUUUUACUAGAGGCGGAGUUUCUCCAUGUAGGUCAGGUUGGUCUCGAAAUCCUGACCUCAGGUUAUCUGCCCGUCUCCGCCUCCCAAAGUGCUGGGGUUACAGGCGUGAGCCACCAUGCCCAGCCUAAAAGGACAUUCUUAAGGCAGAAAGAAGGGGGCAGGAGAAUCGCUUGAACCAGGGAGGUGGAGGUUGCAGUGAGCCCAGAUUGCGCCACUGCACUCCAGCCUGGGCAACAGAGCGAGACCCUGUCU